UGGGGAAUUUUGGACAAUGGGGGCAACCGUGAUCCAGCAAUGCCGCGUGUGUGAAGAAGGCCUUCGGGUUGUAAAGCACUUUUGUCCGGAAAGAAAACGUCGUGGUUAAUACCCGUGGCGGCUGACGGUACCGGAAGAAUAAGCACCGGCUAACUACGUGCCAGCAGCCGCGGUAAUACGUAGGGUGCAAGCGUUAAUCGGAAUUACUGGGCGUAAAGCGUGCGCAGGCGGUCCGCUAAGACAGAUGUGAAAUCCCCGGGCUUAACCUGGGAACUGCAUUUGUGACUGGCGGGCUAGAGUAUGGCAGAGGGGGGUAGAAUUCCACGUGUAGCAGUGAAAUGCGUAGAGAUGUGGAGGAAUACCGAUGGCGAAGGCAGCCCCCUGGGCCAAUACUGACGCUCAUGCACG
rnacentral:rRNA from 1 species